AUGGCUUGUUGGGAUCUUAUCAAACAUAGAGAGACCUCUCUCAACCUUGCUGCUCUUUGCUUUCCUGAGACCAACCUCUCGUGCCUAGAAAUCUUUGACUUGCAUCCUGAAAAAGCUCCUGGUCCGGAUGGCUACACAGGGCUAUUCUUUGGCAAGUGCUGGGAUCUCAUAAAGAAUGGUCUUGUCGGUGCUGUCUUACACUUCCAGAACCUCAACACCCAAAAUAUUUUCCUGCUGAAUAGUGCCAUCAUAGCCCUCCUCCCUAAGCACCAGGGGGCCAAUAAACCAAAUGAGUUUCGUCCGAUUAGUCUCCUCCAUUGCUUUGCCAAGAUAAUUGCCAAAAUCUUAGCUUCUAGACUGCAGCCUUUCAUGCAUCGUCUGACUUCUCAGUGCCAAAAUGCAUUUUCUAAAGGGCAAAGCAUUCAUGAUAACUUCGUUUAUGUACAAGAAAUGGCAAAAUCAUUUAUACAGAAAGAGGUUCCGGCUGUUAUGAUUAAGCUAGACCUCUCCAAAGCCUUUGAUUCCGUUGCAUGGGAAUUCUUACUCAAGCUACUACAGUUCAGAGGUUUUGGGAGUAUCUCUGCUAUGUUUCUGUCGGCCUCCACCAAGGUGCUUGUUAAUUCUCAGGUCACUGAUCAAAUUCUGCAUAGGAAAGGUCUGAAGCAGGGUGACCCGUUCUUGCCGUCGCUUUUUGUCUUGGUCGCCUGA
rnacentral:rRNA from 1 species